rnacentral:rRNA from 1 species
UGGGGAAUUUUCCACAAUGGGCGAAAGCCUGAUGGAGCAACGCCGCGUGUGUGAUGAAGGUCUUCGGAUUGUAAAGCACUUUCGAUCGGGACGAAACGCUCUGCUCCAAUACAUCAGAGUCUGACGGUACCGAGAGAAGAAGCACCGGCUAACUCUGUGCCAGCAGCCGCGGUAAUACAGAGGGUGCUAGCGUUGUUCGGAAUUAUUGGGCGUAAAGCGCGUGUAGGCGGCUCGUCAAGUUGGAUGUGAAAUCCCUCGGCUUAACCGAGGAAGUGCGUCCAAAACUAACAAGCUUGAGUGCUGGAGAGGAUGGCGGAAUUCCGCAAGUAGAGGUGAAAUUCGUAGAUAUGCGGAGGAACACCGGUGGCGAAGGCGGCCAUCUGGACAGCAACUGACGCUGAGACGCGAAAGCGUGGGGAGCAAACAGG